CUCUCAGACCUCCACUCUUGCCCAGACCUGUCCAAACACACGCUAUCUGCAUGCUGUCCCAGAGGUUAGCAAUGCGAGGCAGCUGUUUCCCUCCAUGUGGAAGUUCAACCCCGGGGCUUUUCCGAGAGUAGUCACCGCUCAUGCCUCCCCAUCAGACGAGUAUGCAGGGAAGUGAGGUGGAAGCAGUGACAUGGAAACCAGAAACGGGUUUGGAGUUGCCCCUCAGCUGAAAGUAGACUCCCAUCUCUGCACUGCAGUAAGGAUCAACACAUGUUGGAACAGAA